UACGUAGGGUGCAAGCGCUGUCCGGAAUUAUUGGGCGUAAAGAGCUCGUAGGCGGUUUGUCGCGUCUGCUGUGAAAACUCGGGGCUUAACUCCGGGCCUGCAGUGGGUACGGGCAGACUAGAGUGCGGUAGGGGAGACUGGAAUUCCUGGUGUAGCGGUGGAAUGCGCAGAUAUCAGGAGGAACACCGGUGGCGAAGGCGGGUCUCUGGGCUGUAACUGACGCUGAGGAGCGAAAGCGUGGGUAGCGAACAGG
rnacentral:rRNA from 1 species